UACGGAGGGUGCAAGCGUUAUCCGGAUUCACUGGGUUUAAAGGGUGCGUAGGUGGGCUGGUAAGUCAGUGGUGAAAUCCCCAGGCUUAACUUGGGAACUGCGUCUGAUACUACAAGGCUGGAGUUCGGGAGAGGGAUGUGGAAUUCCAGGUGUAGCGGUGAAAUGACGUAGAUAUCUGGAGGAACACCGGUGGCGAAGGCGGCAUCCUGGACCGAAACUGACGCUGAUGCGCGAAGGUCAGGGGAGCAAAGCGGG
rnacentral:rRNA from 1 species